rnacentral:lncRNA from 1 species
UUUUCACCCUUAAGGAUGUACACCUCUGAGGAGUCAAAAAUUUCUAGAAUUAAACUUUUUUUCUUAACCUGAUUUUUGGGUUUAUAAGACUGUAACAAAAUAAUUGGUGAAGAAAAAAUCAUAUGGUGGUGCACUUCUUUUUUUGCUACGGCCCUUUGAAAAUGCCCAAUUUUGAUGAUUUUCCCAUUUUUCAUCGAUUUUUACCUAUUUUUGGGCUAUUAUCAUGAAAAAAAUCACAGUUCCACAAUUAAACUUUUUCUCAUAUUUUCUAUAAAGAUGAAGUGGACCAAUCUGAAUAAAUUUUACUUACAAAAACUAUAGGUAGGUGUUAAUAUAAGAAAGUUUUAUCAUAUUUUGACGCUUUUUUGUGUAAAAUUUACCAUGCUGUCAAUUUUGUAUUUUUGUGAAUUUUCUCAGUUUUAAGAACAAAAUGCAUAUUAUUUCAACUUUUUUGUUAUGAAUGAAUGAAAAAAGACAUAUCUAAGAAAUUUGAAAAGACCAAAAUGAUAUGGGAUGUACAUGAUUCUUGUAAAAUCAUUUUUUGUAUCCCUCACUCAUUUUCUCAAAAUUUUGGCUAAAAAUACUGACUUGAUUGGUCGUAAAAUUUGAAAACUGGAUUACACAAAAACCAUUCAUUGUAAAUACACAAUUUUUUCACAGAUUUAUGUUUGCUUAUAAUAUUUUUAAAGUCCAUUGAUAUUUUCCACUUCUAUCACAUGUUUUGGAAAUAAUUCAAGAACGAGAUUUUAACGAGACUGAACGAGACUGAAAAGUCAGAAGAAUACA